rnacentral:rRNA from 1 species
CAAUAGCGUAUAUUAAAGUUGUUGCGGUUAAAAGCUCGUAGUUGGAUUUCUGCUGAGGACGACCGGUCCGCCCUCUGGGUGAGUAUCUGGCUCGGCCUUGGCAUCUUCUUGGGGAACGUAACUGCACUUGACUGUGUGGUGCGGUAUCCAGGACUUUUACUUUGAGGAAAUUAGAGUGUUUCAAGCAGGCGCACGCCUUGAAUACAUUAGCAUGGAAUAAUAAGAUAGGACCUUGGUUCUAUUUUGUUGGUUUCUAGAGCUGAGGUAAUGAUUAAUAGGGAUAGUUGGGGGCAUCAGUAUUCUGAAGCGAGAGGUGAAAUUCUUGGACCUUCGGAAGACUAACAGCUGCGAAAGCGUUUGCCUAGGAUGUUCUCUUUAAUCAAGAACGAAGGUUGGGGGAUCGAAGAUGAUCAGAUACC